CAUGGACCCAAACAGUUUUCUAUCUGGGUAAUUCCUAUUCUUCCUUCAGGAGUGAAGCAGGACAUCAUCUCCUCCAACCACCCACUUCCACUGCCUCAGCAGGCAGCUGAUAGGGAGAGUCCCACUUCUGCUCAUCCACAGGUCCUAUGAAGCACCACUUAGUGACAGUCAACUCACGAUGCACAUUAAACUCAAUGUAUAUGGGUUUCUAUAUUUCAAAAAAAUACAGAAUUUAGGGACCACCAGGUUACAGCAAAGGAGAAGCAAUUGCACAGGGGCAUAAGUCCUAGGACACAGGACACAUCUAGAGGCUGUGAAUACACAGGUGAAGCCAAGAGACACCACAGGGUCAAUCAACUCAGAGACUUGAAAAAGAGAGCACUGUGACCAACUCAUUCUAGGGGAAACAGCAACUAGAUCCAAAUCACAAACAAAACAAAACAAAAAAAACAGAACAACAAAUUCAGACUAAUUGUCUGUCUCUGUCAUGAGGCUCAGUGCAAAAUUUUUAAACAAAAUAACAAACCAAACCCAGUAGCAGUAUCAAAAGAUAAUAUACACCAUGACAAACUGGAUUUAACCCUGUUCCAGAGAAAGAAACAGCGAAAAAAACACAGCCCUUUGCAUUGCUGAUUCUGCUUUCUGGAAUGCUCUUUCCCUGGCUGCUAAUGGGAUAGAUGCCUAAUAUUUAAUGUCUCAGCUUAAAAUACCUUGUACUCAGAAAGACUUCACUGACUCUCCCAGGCAACUAGAUGCCCUAUUACUUGCUCUCUCACCAUCCUAUUCAUUUCCUUCCUGGCAAUUAAGCAAUGGGUAGUUACUGAAUUUGCAUUCCUGCCUAUUGGCUAUCUCUCAACCCUAGCAUGUGACCCUUUUGAGGCAGGGAUCUUUUAUCUAUUUUACCUUUGGGUCUUCAACAUGGACAAAGCAAUUGACACACAGUAUAACUUUACAGAUAUGGGUUGAAUAAAUCAAAUUCUGGAAUUCUAAGGAACACAUUCAAGAUACUCCAGAUGGUGCCAGUCUGUUU
rnacentral:lncRNA from 1 species